GACGAACGCUGGCGGCGUGCUUAACACAUGCAAGUCGAACGGAAAGACCCUGCUUUUGUGGGGUGCUCGAGUGGCGAACGGGUGAGUAACACGUGAGUAACCUGCCCUUGACUUUGGGAUAACUUCAGGAAACUGGGGCUAAUACCGGAUAGGAGCUCCUGCUGCAUGGUGGGGGUUGGAAAGUUUCGGCGGUUGGGGAUGGACUCGCGGCUUAUCAGCUUGUUGGUGGGGUAGUGGCUUACCAAGGCUUUGACGGGUAGCCGGCCUGAGAGGGUGACCGGCCACAUUGGGACGGAGAUACGGCCCAGACUCCUACGGGAGGCAGCAGUGGGGAAUAUUGCACAAUGGGCGGAAGCCUGAUGCAGCAACGCCGCGUGCGGGAUGACGGCCUGCGGGUUGUAAACCGCUUUCGCCUGUGACGAAGCGUGAGUGACGGUAAUGGGUAAAGAAGCACCGGCUAACUACGUG
rnacentral:rRNA from 1 species